rnacentral:lncRNA from 1 species
AUUGUAGACUUAUCCAAACGCAUCAUUGUAGAAGAUGAAGUUUACAAGGGACCCGGCUAUCCUUCACUUACAGCUGAGGAGCAAAUAGCUGCGAUUCAGUUGCCAUUAACAUACGGUCCCUUUAUCGAAUCAACUAAAAAGAGAGACCUUAACGUUUUCAUAUGUUGUUUGUUCUACAUUUACAGUGGGGUGGUUUGGAGGAGUUGAGAGAACUAAAAGGGUGGUAAAGGUUCAAUGUUUUUAUAACAAGGACACCGUUAAUUUGUACCUCAGGCCAAUAGAGGGUAUACGAAUAGUUGUCGAUCUUGAAAAAAUGAAGAUCGCUGAAUACAGUGACACGUUCAAGAUUGCGGUACCAAAAGCUGAGGGAACCGAUUACAGAUUUUCCAAGCAGAGCCCGCCUUUUGGCCCCCGUAUCAACGGUGCAGCCAUCAUGCAAACGAAUGGACCAGGCUUCGAGAUUGAUGGCCAUACUAUCAGGUUUUUUUUCUUCUAUUCUUUUUGUGCAUAUUUUGUUUCUCUUCUUCUUCUUCUUCUCAUCAUUAUUUCACUCAUCUUGAUACCUCUGUUCUAAUUAUUUGGCCAAAUUAAAAAAGAAAAAGGAGAAAUAAUUUGUCAUUUUUUGUUCUAUAAUGAACAUUCGAAUGUAAAAGCAAGUUAAGUUAAUCAGGCCAUGGUAUAUAUCUGACGUAAAAUAUGAAGAUUACGUUCAGGUUUUAAAAAUUAGGGUUACGAAACAAAUUUGAAAAUGCAGUUCUUUAAAAUUCAGAUCUCAGUCAAUGAAGGAAUUUAAUGACUAUUCACACACUCUGUGCUUGAAAAUACUCAAAUAGCAAACUAAUAUAUAUAUAUAUAUAUAUAUAUAUAUAUAUAUAUAUAUAUAUUCAGAUUAAUGAAAUCUAAUCUAACUAUUAUUUUAAAAGUCCACACUAGAUUUAAGGAAUAGCGUAGGUCAAGUUGCAAGGUAUUAGACAGGAGCCUAAUCCAAAUAAGCUAAAUUACCCAAGGCCCAUCUUCGGACUUAUAAGCAUGAUUAGUGUGCAUUUUUAUUUCAGUUAUUUUUAGAUUAAUGGAAAAACCUCUAUAUCGCAUUGGUUUUAGACCACAAUAUAAGUUGUUAAAACGUGUGAAAAAAUAUACUAGCAAUAAUUAAGAACGUUAAAGCAAUAUUUUCUUUUUCUUUAUAGUACGUAUUCAUCAAUUUUUAUCGAAGUAGAUUAUAUUUUUUGGUGAUAUUAUAAUGUAGAAGCUAUUGAAACUAUUAAAUAUCUUCAAUAGUAACAAUAAGUGAAAUUAUAUUAAUGAGGUUAGUUAGGUAUCAAAUAUGUCUACGGAAGAAUUUUAAGAGCAUACCCAAGUAUCCGAAAAGCAAUCCAUAUGUUAAUUUUAUUAUUUAUUAAUUUUGGAUAUAUUCGAAAAGCAAUCCAUAUGUAGGGAAAAAUAUCAAAUCAAAUAUGCAUACACAUGCUGGGAGUUUUUAACUAUGUUGACUACAUAUAUAUCGUUGUGUGACUUGUGUCCCUAAUAAUUAUCGAUGUAAGUAAAACAUUUAUUGACUGCUUGUGUCAAGACAAUCACCCACACCACAAGCACCUGUUUUUUUAUUUUCUUUCCUUUAUGGGUUACAAUUCAAGUUUGAUGUUUAGUUGGUACUUCAGUAAUACGCAAAUCUUUAAAACUACUCUAUAUUCGUGGUAUUUUGAAGACUAAAAGCAUUCCACUUUAAUUUAAAAAUUUUAAUUGAAAUCAUUCACCAAUAUUAAAUUAUAUAUACUUGGGAUCAAGACUUUCACCGAAAGUAAAAAAUAUGGUUAAGUAUAGACUUGGGAUCGAGACUACUUUCACCGAAAGUGAAAAAUGUGAAAAACAUGGAUAAGAGAUGGGAAAUGUUUUUUCUCCAUCGCCAUUCAUUUGGUAGACAAUGACAACGAGGAAGACAGAGAAAACACUGGAACAUUAAUAUAUAUAUAUAGGACCACUGGAAAAAGCAAUAGGCGUUUCUCGAACAUCACAAAUCACAAAGAUUAGAAAACUCGAAGGUAUCCUCCAAAUUCAAUGCUGAUUGUACGCCUUAAUUAAGUUCAGUUGUGACCACUAAAUUAAUAUGUUCUUUUGCUUUCCUUGAAUGAAUUAUUUGCACUUCGUUACUGAACAGAUUUUCUACCCUUUGGAGCUCUCACAUAUAUAGAUUUUACAAAUGCCUGUGACAUUAGCUGGUAUUGUUUUUUUCUUAAUUUUUUUUUUAUCUUAGCUGAUAAUUUGGGGUGAAGUGUGGAAAACACCUCCAAUUCUUUCAGAAUAUUGACCAGUAUACCGUAGCUUCUUUCCUCGUUUAGCUAUCCUUAAGUAACUUCCAAUCAACAAUCCGAGGGCGAGAAUGCACGCUUUGGUAUUAUAGCUUAGGAGGUAUUGAUUAAGCUCUGUAGCAGCUGGGGCUAUAAAUGGAUGGUUCAUCACGCCAUGGCAACCCGGCCGCAACUCAAGGUCCCCGCCAUGGAUAAGUAUCCUGUGUCUUUAAAUUACAGUGUUUCGGCUGACAACAGCCACAUGAUCAAACCAGAGAGUUCACCAUCCGCGUUGGUUGGGGAACGAUAACCCAAGUAAAUUUUAUUCACUUGAUAAUCACGUACACCAACAAAGAUGGAGAAGUGAGAUAGAAAUCCAACCUAUGUAAGUACUGCAGAAAAAUGAUUUGACUGUUUUUGCUAAAAAAAUAUCUGUCUAUUUUUGUCAGGCAUGAAAAAGAUGGACGUAGGUAGGAAAUAAACAGCUAAAGACGUUCGCCGCUAUCAUUUUUUUUAUGCAAAUAGUCAAAGACUUUUUUUUUUUGUAAAGAGUGUUUUUAAUCUAUUUAUUAAUACGAGUCCCAGUUGAGUGUUGUUUUGUGAUGAUUGUAAAAUAGUUUUUAACUUAUUUAUUGAUAAUUUUAACAUAUGUGAGUAGUAAAAUGUUUUAUUUUUUAUUUUUUAAAAAGGUUAUUUUUUAAACAUGAAAAAACAAACUUUUGACUUAAGAAACAAAACAUACUAAGCAUGAAAAAAUAGUUUUUAACUUAUUUAUUGAUAAUUUUAACCUCCUCCUUUUUUGUUUUGUUUUUUAUCAACCCCCUGCUCCUACAUGUCCACGAAAUACUCGUCUGAAAGACAUAGUAUGCACGUGAUAUCGUACAUGGUGAUGUGUUGUUAGCUGUUCCUCAAACUUCUAGCCGUCCAGGGAUGGCAAAGUCGCAAUUCCCUUCUCGUCGUCCUCGUGAGAAUACAAUGCUUUAAAAGUUUAGAAGUCUUCAAGGAAUCAAACUGACGUGAUAAGAGGCAAAUCAUACACUAGUUUCAACUUUGAUUUCAUUUGGGCUGUUUCAAUUUGGUAUAAUUUUUUUUUUGGUUUGAAAUUAUGUUUAGAUUAUUUGUUUUUGAAAAAAAAUUAAAUUAAUCUUUUAAAAUAUUUUUUUAUGAUAAUGAUAAACUAGUAUCUAAAUUGAAAAAAAAAAUAUUUUUUUUAAAUAAAAAGUAUUUUUAAAAAUCAUUAUGUAUUAUUACAAUACCAAAUACAUAAUUAAACUAAAAUAUUUGAGUUGUAAUAAUGAUAUUUAUAUGGUUUUAUUCCGUUGUUUCAGUGGCUUGUACAGGUUUAAUUAAUAAACAGUAUAAUAAAAGAAUAUGAUACAAAAGUUUUUUUUAAAAGCAUUUUGUUUACAUAUUUUAAUAUAUUUUUUGAAAUUUUAAAAAACUGAAUUUUAUUUUCAGAAUUUUUUGCUUAAAAAAUUAAAAUUAAUUCAAAUUAAAUUGAUAUAGACACAUGUCAUAUAUUGAGUCAGUAAUUGUUUAUGGUGUUUAUUUUUUAAAAAUAAAUAUAGUGACUAAAAAUAUUUAGAAUGUAAAAAACACAAAUACCUUCAUCUACAAAUAUUAAAAACGGCUUGAAUUAUUUUUUAAAAUAUUUUAUCAAGCUGUUUUUGUUUUAGGAAAUUAAAAAUUGGCAUCAUUUUGAUUAUUUGAACACUUCUAGUAUAUCUAGAGAGUCAACAAAUUCAAAUUAAAAGUGUUUUAGAUCCAAAAUCUUCCAGUCUUCAAAAUUUCUUUACCCUUUCCACUCUGAGGUUAACAUUUAAAUCCCCAUGAUUAAAUUAUACCCUACUAUACUACAACAAUUCCUAUAUUAAGGUAUAAUUUUUCGAUUAAUUUUACGAAAUCAAAAGUAAUGGAUUUAAUGAUCACAUCAAUAAUUCACUUCUCAAAAUAGAAUAAAUUAUAAUCAUACAAUAAAGACAAUAUCCCUUUGUUUUUUUUUUCUUUUCAGAAAUGUUAGUUUCUCCACAUGUCGCAGUUAGAAACACGUUUUCUUCUUUUUCUUGUGUGAAAAGGUACAAAAUGACUUAAUUUAUUUUUGUUAUUUCAAUGGGGGGAAAAAGUAUAUCUCUGGCAUUUUUCGCAAUCGGCUUUGGUUAAUCGAACCUUGCCCUACUGUGUAAAAAAGUAAAAACAAAACAUGAAGCUGGCCAUGGCAUUUCCUGAUUCGAUAAUUAAUUAUUUGUCGUUCCUUUUAUUUUAAUAUAUUUUUGAAAAGCUUAACAACACAAACUGCAAAUUUGAUCCCUAUCAGAUGGGUCAACUGGGUGUUUCAUCUGGCAUUUGAUGUCCGAGUUGGACCAAUUAUAUCUCUGGCAUCAAUUUACGAUCCAGAAAAGCACACCUAUCGCAGCGUGUUGUACCGAGGGCACAUAUCUGAACUCUUUGUCCCCUACAUGGAUCCAACCGAGGAAUAUUACUACAAAACAUUUUUUGAUUGCGGAGAAUUCGGGUUUGGUCAAAAUGCGGCUUCAUUGGUGCCCCUGGCCGAUUGUCCAAAUAAUGCAGUAUUCAUGGACGGCUACUACGCAGCACAUGACGGUUCAGCAGUGAAAGUAUCAAAUGCUUUUUGCAUAUUUGAAAGGCACGUUGGAGAUAUCAUGUGGCGACAUACCGAGUUGGGGAUUCCAAACCGAGUGGUAAACAUUUUUGUGACGUUGUAUUUUAGAGCCAUUGAUUUCGAUUUCAUCAGCUAAUAUAUAUAUAUGAUUGAAAAAUGUGGUCGUUAUUUUCAGAUAAAUGAGGCGAGGCCUGAGGUGAGCCUAGUAGUGAGGAUGGUUGCCACGAUCGGUAACUAUGAUCAUAUAAUAGACUGGGAAUUCAAGCCAAGUGGUUCUAUCAAAGCUCAGGUAAACUGUAGACAAUGGCGUGGGCCGCGUGGCUUUAUAUAUAAUUAACCUUGAUCACCUUGAUCAUGAUCAUAUCCUCAAGUUUGUAACACGUUCUAUGUCUCAACAGGUUGGUUUAAGUGGAAUUCUUGAAGUGAAGUCAACAACAUUCACCAACGUGGAUCAGAUAAAUGAAGAAGUUUACGGUACAUUGUUGGGAGACAACACAAUCGGCUUAAACCAUGAUCAUUUCUUGACUUACCGCCUUGAUCUUGACAUUGAUGGUGCUGCCAAUUCUUUUGUUAAGCAAAAUUUGGUAACCAAACAUGUGAAUGAUGAUGUCUCACCAAGGAAGAGUUAUUGGACUGUUGUUAGUGAAACAGCCAAGACUGAAACGGAGGCGAAAAUUCGCUUAGGGACGACUCCAUCUGAGCUGGUAAUUGUGAAUCCAAAUAAGAAAACUAAACCUGGAAACCAUCAUGGCUAUCGUUUGAUACCAGGGGCACCUACACACCCCCUUCUGCUAGAGGAUGACUAUCCACAAAUUCGUGGAGCCUUCUCUAAGUAUAAUGUGUGGGUCACCCCAUAUAACAAGUCUGAAAUAUGGGCAGGAGGAAAGUAUGUUGAUCAAAGCCAAGGACAAGACACUUUAGCUGUUUGGACCCUCAGGUACUCCAUUGCUAAUCUAAAACAGUAGAGAUCAUGUCAUUAAUUAACUUAAUUUCAAUCUCGAAAUUUAUUCCAAUUUUCUGUUUUUGGAUGUGCAGGGAUAGAAAGAUUGAAAACGAGGACAUAGUAUUAUGGCAUGUCUUAGGGUAUCACCACUCCCCUUGCCAAGAAGAUUUUCCUGUGAUGCCAACAUUGAGUGCUGGAUUCGAGCUCCGACCAGCUAAUUUCUUUGAAAGCAAUCCUGUGCUCAAGGUGUUGCCUCCUAAGCCUGUACGUUGGCCUAACUGCACCGCCAAACCAUAGUCUAUUUUCUUUCGUGUUUCUCGAAAUGCCAAAUAAAUUUGUCUCUACUUUAAUGCUUGCAUGUUGUUGUAUUUGUGGUGCGGAGCUUUGCUAUUGGGAGUUCCGUAUCGAAAACAAGAAAGCUUGCAAGAGCUCUGCUCGAUGAACUAGAACGUUUCAAUGUUUUGUUAGAAAUCAUAUGGUUUCCAACAAAAUAAUUCAUCUAACUAAAGAACUCCCUUUUUUUUUUUUUAGGAAGAAAGGCUAACUUCAAAUUUUAACUGCUGAAAUAGAGAUUUUAACCUGCCAACCAAAUGACUAAUAGCUUCAUUUGCUAUUAUUAAUUCCACUUCCCCUCCCUCAGGCUGAGGUAACAAGGCUCCACAACCCAGGCUUCUAUUUCCUAUAUGUGUGCCCAAGUCCUGUAUAGUAUCGUAGGAAUUUGAUCCUCAAACUGUAGGAUUGAACUCAUAGCACGAAACUGGUUAGCAUUUUUGUGUUUCCUUCCAUUAAGAGCAGAACGAGAACAAUAUGCCUUUUCACACUCUUUAUACAUUAAUUGUAAGCCGGCAUCUUGGCAAUGGUUCAGGAUGAAUGGACCAUAAUAUUGAGUUAUCUUGGAAUAAGCUUUAUAAUUUAUUUUUCCCGGCAAGUUCUUUUUCUAUAUUUUUUCUUUAGACUCCAUAUGUUUUUUUAUACAUGAUUAAAUUAAAUCAUUUUAUUAGAUUUAAUAGUAUUCUAGCGAAGAUAUUUUUUUUAACAUGCUAGCAGCGUUUGAUUUGAUUAAAUUUUUUAUUGCAAUUUAGUUUAGAAAAAAGAAGGUAUAGAUUGAUACUUGGCUUCGAAAAAAGAAGAAGAAUACUUAUCAAAUCCCAAGGUCCAAGCUCCAAGUGCGAGCAUAUUGACAAAGAAACGAGGCAAGAAGAUAAGAAGACAGAAAUGUCGAGAGGUAAUUAAAAGUCUUGGAAGAGUGGGGCUAGCGCCCAGCAAACACCAGCAACACAAUUAUCGAGAGCUGAUAAUCCAUCAGUUUACGAUCUUGAACGACGUUGCUUAACUCACCUAUCUAUUUCUAUUUUAUAAGGAAAAAAAUGAUGAAAACUGUCGCACCUUACAAAAAAUCCAAUUGCGUGUUCGGCUGGUGAUUUUUUUUUUGUUUUAUUGAUUUGGUUCUUUGGAGUCGUCAUCUAGUAUUUUAGUCACUAGGAAUUCUAACUGGUCUCAGAGAUUGGAUACGAGGACUGGUUGCGUAAAGAGAAGGUAUUAGCACCCCAAAUACGCCCUACCUAAGGUAAGCUGCAUUGUUUUAUUGUCUGAUAAAAACGAAGGUGUUAUUGUGUUUUCCUAGUUGUUGGUCUGUCUAUGGUUCAAGAAAAAUUCUCCUCGGUAAGGAGAUCUUUAUCUUAUCGGGUAAAAUCCUAACCGUUCUAAUGUCUAUACCAAAACUUUAUUAAUAAUAUUUAGGAAUACGUUUUACGUAUAAAUUCGUAAUCCCAAAUGCUAAAAGAAAACAAAAAGAUUUUUUUAGAAUUUUUGAAAUAUUGACCUAGUUCUCAUAGCUUGAAUAAACUAGUUAUUAAAGCCAAAAUGCAUGCUAAUACAUAUAUUGUUUUGAAAAAAAAAAAAAAAAAAUUUUGUUGUGUGAAAAUAUGAUGUUAUAAUAUUUAUAUAUAUAUAUAUAUAUAUAUAUAUAUUAGAGAGACUAGGCCGUAUUUUAAAACCAAAAAACAAAUUUUUUUUUGGAAAAUAUUAUUUUUUAUGCUUUGACGAAAAUCAAGUAUUUUAAUACUGAGUUUGUAUCCUUACGAUAUAAAAAUACAACUCAAUAUUAAUCCACUUUAAUAAAAAUAUGCAGAAAAAUCAACAACAUUUUUAGGGAUUUUUUAGAAUAUGUUUUGAAAGCAAAAACAUUUUUUAUUUUGAAAAUCUUUGAUAUUUUGACGAAAACCGGGUAUUUUUAACACUGGUUUUGUAUCUUUACGAUAUAAAAAUACAAACCAACAUUAAACCAUUUUGACAAAAAUAUGCAAGAAAAUCAACAAUAUUUUUUUAAGAUUUUUCAAAAUAUAUAUUUUUUAAUAUAAAUAUUUUUUUAUAUAUAUAGCAUAUAUAUACACAUAUAUUAUAAUAUAUAAUAUAUUAUAUUAUGAGGCUGGGCCGACCCAAAUAAAUGGGCCAGGCUCAGCCCAAAAAAAUAAAACGGGCCGUCCUCGACCCAAAAUGAAAUUGGGCCGAUCUCGGCCUAAAAACUUCUACAGUCUGGGCCAGGACCGGCCCAGACUUGCAAGGCUGGCCCAGCACCCUCGGCCCAGCAGGGGGGGGAGAAUUAAUUUUCUUCCCCCCGCCUCCUGCAUGCAGAACUCUUUAUGCAGGAGGUAACGCCUGCAACGAAAGCGAAGGGGGAAGAAGAAAAUUUACCUGGUGUGGAGGAGGCGGUCACUGGCGGGGCUGCGGUGGCGUGGCUGAGGAGGCGCUGCGGCUGUUUCCAAGUGUUCGGUUCACUCUCUCUCUCUCCUCCCUUCUCCUUGUUUCAGUUCUCUUUUUUCUUUUUGUUUUCGGUUUGGUUCCAAUAUUCCCUUCUCUCUCUCUCGUGCGUGCUCUCUCUUCUCUUCGGUCUCCUCCCUCUCCCUCCUCCCUUCAGUUCACUCUUUAUUUAUAGGGGAAGAAUCGGUGCGCCUUUUGCUAGUGCGGGAGCAAAUCACGCAACGGCUGGUCAGCCAUUGACUCGUUCGGUGGUCUUAUGGGGCUUCGGUGGGGGCGAGGAGAGAGAGGCGGGAAGGUUUGAAAUGGUUUUCGUCUUCUGCUGCUCUGCUCAGGGGGGAAGAAGGAAGAUGAACAGUGUCGUUCAAAACGACACCGUUCUAGUCUUCCUUUUUUUUUUUUUAUAUAUAUGAAACGACGUCGUUUUGGAUAAAACACGCCGUUUCAUUUAAAUGAGCCAAACUUCAAAUCAGCCCUCCAUCAUUUCUUGUUCAUUUCAAUUGUAUCCCUGCCAAAUUCGGUCCCCGCCUCUCUUGUUGGCCGAGUUUUUUCACUUUAGUCCUUGGGCUCUAAUUUAUGCAAUUGAGCCCUCAAUUGAUUAAUAAACUUUCAAUUUCUUCAAUUAGGCCCCUGAAUCGAAUAAUUGCAGCCCUUACAUUUACGCGCCUCUUCCAAUUUGGUCCAUGGUUUCGGAUUUUCUUAAUUAAUUCCCUAAUUGGCCAUUAAACUUCAAUAUUUAUGCAAUUAAGCCCCUGAUUUGACCUACAAAAUUCCUAAAAAAAAUAUUUUGGCCCCAGAACUUAAAUUUCUUUCAAUUAAAGCCCAAAUUGACUUAAAAAUCAAAUUUUCUUGCAAUCAAAUCUCCUAUAAAAUCAAUUAAAAAUCCAAUUAAGUUCAUAAACAUCCAAACUUCGGCUUUUGUCCUUAAAAUUCAAAUUUUUCCUUCUCAACAGGGUUCUCUUCCUUUAAGAAUAUACUGUCAAAAAUCCAAUCUUUAUAUUUUUUUUACUUCCUUGACCAAUUUUCCGACCAUUUUCUGAGCGCUUCUGCCUCUUGUUAUUUUUUUAGCCGUCUUUGGUUAUUUAUUUUAUUUUUUGUGGGGACCCAAAAAAAUGGGUUACAACAAAAACAUUAAAAAUGAUGAUAAUACAUUUGCUUUUCACAAUCUAUGAAACUUUAAUCGUUUUUUGAGACUAAAAUUUAAUGGCUUUCUACCUUGAUGUCCUCGUCACUGGCCAUCAAAGUCUUGGAAGACUUUGAUAAGAAAUGUCGAGAGAAAAUUCAAAGUCUUGGAAGAGAAAAGAAAAGAGACAUGUGCGUCCUGAAACUAGGUUUUGUCAAUUAGAGCAGUUGGGAUUGCCGGUUGGUGGAGAUUUUUUCCAAUGUUAAAUCCUCCUGUGUUGCCUGAGCUAAUCCAUAUGUAAAAAAUCUAUAAGAGUGAACUGAAACCUUCAUUUAGCAAUCCCUUAUCAUGUCAACAAAGAAAAAAAAAACAAUUAAGCUUCAAUAAUUUAUCAAACUGGUUUUAGACAUAACUAGAUAUAUUACGCGUGUUUUAUUAAAUAAUUUUUUUAAUGUAAAAAAAUUUAAAUCUCAAGUUACUAGUUAAAGUGAUAAUUUAAAUAAUAUAAUAAAAUAAUAACAAUAACUAAAUUAACAAACAGUGAUUAUUAAGGAUAUUGAAAUGUAUCAUUGAGAGUUGUACUCAAUGAUACAAUUCUAGCCAAAGAAUCAGGAGUUUUUUCUCAUGGUAACACAAUGAAAAAAAAAUAUAUUUUCGAGACUAACACAACUUUUUCCCCAAACUAGUAUAAUUUUACUAUUCAUACAGGUCUCACGUGUGAAACUCACAUAUUAAUUUUUUUUCCUUCUUUUUUCUACCUCAUUUCAUAAUCCGGUCCCUUUAUUCAUCUUUAAUUAACUUAUUUUUGUGCAAAACCUUUUUAUGCUCAAAAUUUCUGUGAGUGUGUGUGUAUAAUUGUUACUUUCAUCACUUUAGUUUUACUCUCAAUUAUUAAUCCUUUUAGAAAAAAAGUAAAUUAAAAUACUUAUAUAUUUUCUAUUAUAAUAGUAAAAAAAAAAAACAAACCAACCUAUUAAUAUCUCAACACUUCCAUCAUUUCUUGACAGGGUUUGCUGUCGUCUCAUUAGAACUUUGUAAGUAAUACAUGAUCAACCUAUUAAUAUCGAACCUCAUCUUUCCUGCUGUACUAAUUAAUUGGACGGUUUACACUCGCGCGCACAAUAUUCUAACAGCUAGAUACUGGUUUCACUGGAUUAUCUAGAUUUGGAUUUUAAUUGAAUCUUUUGAAUUUUAUAAAUUAAUUAAAUCAUUAAUUCCAGUCCCAUAAUUAUAAACUCAACAUAGUUAGGCGGGUCAUUACGUCAACCAACAUUAGUCUAAUUUGAAAAGUACGAUUGCAACUAAUAUUUUUUUCUGAAUACGUACGUGCACUCAUAAAAAAAGUCCAAAAUGCCUAUUUAAGGAUGAAGAAGCUCCAGAGUUCCUUCAUAGCCAUGGCUUCAACAUUGAAAGUGGUGCUCUUGUUACUCUUCUCUAGCUUUACUAUCUCGCCUAUCUCUUGCUACAAGGGUGCGCAGCACCCACUAGACCCUCUAUCCCCGAAAGAGUUGACCCUUGUCCAAACCAUUGUCAAGAAAUCAUACAACCCUAGCUCAAACAACACCAUAUCAUUCCAUUAUGUAGGGUUAGAUGAGCCAGAAAAACCAACUGUUCUGUCAUGGCUAUCGAAACCCAGCACCAAAACCCUUCCUCGCCGGGCCCUAGUCUUUACUCGAGUAAAUGAACAAACCCAUGAAAUUAUUGUAGACUUGUCGAAACGCAUCAUUGUAGAAGAUGAAGUUUACAAGGGACCCGGCUAUCCUUUACUUACAGCUGACGAGCAAAUAGCUGCGAUUCUGUUGCCAUUAACGUACGGUCCCUUUAUCGAAUCAACUAAAAAGAGAGACCUUAACGUUUCAUAUGUUGUUUGUUCUACAUUUACAGUGGGGUGGUUUGGAGGAGUUGAGAGAACUAAAAGGGUGGUAAAAGUUCAAUGUUUUUAUAACAAGGACACCGUUAAUUUGUACCUCAGGCCAAUAGAGGGUAUACAAAUAGUUGUCGAUCUUGAUAAAAUGAAGAUUGUUGAAUACAGU